rnacentral:tRNA from 1 species
GCUCUAAUAGUAUAACUAUUACCUUGGUCUUGUAAACCAAAAAUGAAGACCUCCAUCUUCUUAGAGCA